ensembl:lncRNA
ACAGUAACCAUGAACAUAUUCGUUCUCUAAAUGAACGCCACGAGUUGUUCCCACAUCGAGCUGCUCUACUCUGAACUCAUUCACACGAGCACUUUCUGCUCGAGUGCUUCCUCUGUUCACAGCCACACUCACGGAUGCGCUGGAGAACAGCUCGGGCCAGAGAUGCUCUUCAAACAGCUGACAGACAUGACCACAUUACAAGAACAUGGUGUGAGUCCGAUUUGAUAUUCCAGUCAACGCUGAGAGACCUUAACCAGGAAGUCAGAGGUCAGCUGAUGCUGCGAGCAGGAAGUGAACCAAGGGAAAGGUCCACUCUACUCAAUCUCAAAGAAAAUAUGCUGACGGACAGGGAAUCAGUUGCUGUACGAUGACAUCAUCUUGAUGUUGACGAGGAGGGCGAGAAAAACUAGUUUUGUCCUGCAGAUGGCGAUCUUGCACCGUGUUCAGAGAGCCG